rnacentral:rRNA from 1 species
CCCUUAGAUGUCCGGGGCUGCACGCGCGCUACACUGAAGGAAUCAGCGUGCUAAAACCAUUGUCGAAAGGCAUUGGUAAACCCAUUAAAAUCCUACGUGAUUGGGAUCGGGAAUUGCAAUUAUUUCCCUUGAACGAGGAAUUCCCAGUAAGUGUGGGUCAUAAGCUCGCGUUGAUUACGUCCCUGCCCUUUGUACACACCGCCCGUCGCUGCCCGGGACUGAGCCGUUUCGAGAAAAGCGGGGACUGCUGCUGUCGGGGCUUUCGGGCCUUGGCUUCGGUGGAAACCGCUUUAAUCGCAGUGGCUUGAACAGGGCAAAAGUCGUAACA